AGGAAAUACAAAUUUAUAUCUAAACUUAUAUAGAUUGGCGGCAUUUAUACUUCUAGAGGAACUUGUUUAUUAAUCGAUAAUCCACGUUAUUUUUAACUUUUAUUAAAAAUUUAUAUACCACCAUCAUAAAAAUUAAUUUAAUAAUAUUAUUUAAAAUAAUUAUAUAAUAUGUUAGGUAAAGGUGUAAUCAAUAUAAAAGCCAAAAUGAGUUACAAUAAAUUUUUAUUUAAGAAUAGAUUUUUAAAAAUUCCCUUAAAAAAGAAUUUAGAAGUAAUAUUAUAAAAUUAAUAUAAUUUGAAAUAAUAUAUAAAUGUGU
rnacentral:rRNA from 1 species